AACGAACGCUGGCGGCGUGUUUAAGACAUGCAAGUCGCACGGGAUAAGACAUGUAGUAAUACUUGUUUUAUUUAGUGGCGCACGGGUGAGUAACACGUGAAUUACAUGCCCUAUAGUGGGGAAUAGCCCAGGGAAACUUGGAUUAAUACCCCAUGGUAUCGAAAGAUUAAAGGUGGCCGCAAGGCUGUCGCUAUAGGAUUGGUUCGCGCCCUAUCAGCUUGUUGGUGAGGUAACGGCUCACCAAGGCAAUGACGGGUACCUGGUCUGAGAGGACGAUAAGGCACACUGGAACAGGGACACGGGCCAGACACCUACGGGUGGCAGCAGUCGAGAAUAAUUCACAAUGGGGGCAACCCUGAUGGUGCAACGCCGCGUGGAGGAUGACGGUCUUCGGAUUGUAAACUCCUGUCAUCUGUGAGAAAGACCUGACGGUAAAUAGCCGGCAGGGUUGAUAGGACCAGAAGAGGAAGGGACGGCUAACUUCGUGCCAGCAGCAGCCGCCG
rnacentral:rRNA from 1 species